AUUGAACGCUGGCGGCAUGCCUAAUACAUGCAAGUCGAGCGGAUGAAGGGAGCUUGUUCUUGGAUUCAGUGACGGACGGGUGAGUAAUGCCUAGGAAUCUGCCUGGUCGUGGGGGCUAACGUCAGGACAGGGGCGCUAAUACCGCAUCGGAUCUGAGGUUGAACGGGGGGGAUCUUAGGACCUCACGCUAUUUGCUGUGACUAGGGCGGAUUAGCUAGUUGGUGGGGUAAAGGCUUACCAAGGCGACGAUCCGUAACUGGUCUGAGAGGAUGAUCAGUCACACUGGAACUGAGACACGGUCCAGACUCCUACGGGAGGCAGCAGUGGGGAAUAUUGGACAAUGGGCGAAAGCCUGAUCCAGCCAUGCCGCGUGUGUGAAGAAGGUCUUCGGAUUGUAAAACACUUUAAGUUGGGAGGAAGAUCAGUAAGAUAAUACCUUGCUGUUUUGACGUUACCAACAGAAUAAGCACCGGCUAACUACGUG
rnacentral:rRNA from 1 species